CUUCAGUAUCACUGUGAGGUCAAGUUAAUCUUGUCAUUCAGCCGCCCUUGUCUCAGCUAUGUGGCUCCGACUACUUAUGCUAUGCUUCUUCAACGAAGCCUUAGGACAUCUAAAUGCCUCUUCUCAGGCAGAAUUCAACCCUGCGGUCAUUUUUUCACAAACAACAGAACUUCUGGAAGGGGACAUCUUGCAAUUAAAGUGUAUGGUUUUUAUGACAGAAAAACCAAAGGAUGCAUUGUGCAUAUACCUCUGCAAGGACGGUGUCGCGACCAGAAUAGAGAGAAUUACAAGAAAAGCAAUUAGUCCAACGUGUUACAGCUGUAGGCCACAAUACUGUCUUCAUCCAAGUCAGAGAAUUUGGUUUGGGCAACAUUUAUCGAAGAAAUGCUGUCAUAUUUGAGAGUGCCAGUGUGGAUCUGAUAUGUUUUGGUGUCGAGACCAAAACAGACAGAUCUUUACACGUGUACUUGUGCAAGAAUGGAAUUGGGGUCAACAUGGAUGUGGCUCGUUCCGAUGGGAUAGCCAUUUUUACACUCGGACAAGUCAGAAGAGAAGACUCUGGCAAUUACAGCUGUGUGUACUCAAUAAAGAAACAUCACCCUGGCAACGUGACUUCCACAAAUGAGAGAUCUGUAAUCAUCCAAGUAACAGGUGAUGUAUUAUAAAGGCAAUUACAUGCAAUUACAGGCAAUUACUGCUGUGUGUACUCACUUAUGAAAAUUAGGUAGCAAUAUGAAUUUGUUGAAACACGAUGUUGAGCAAUAUGAAUUUGUUUGACGAAAUGAAAUCUACAUCACUGUCCAGAAUGUAGCCUACUGUACUAUGGGCUCAAUAGCGCAUCUGUAAUGGACACUCUUUAAGGGUUAUAUAGAUAAGCUGAUGUUACUUCACCUGUUUCAAUAUAGAGAUGGAUGUCCAUCAGUGGUGGGUGAAUGUCAUUAGACUCUUGUGUUCAGUUGGAGUGGUCAUUGCAGCUAUGGCCUUUCUGACUGUUCAUAAUUUCUACAGCAUAAAAGGUAACAAUGCCAUUUAUCAUUGUGGUAUCACUUCAUGCUUUUAAUUUCAUCAGCAUUUCUAGUCUACAAAUGGUAAAAUCCGACUCUAUGUGGACACCACACAGUCAGAGUAAUGAUUUGGUGAUAAAUCUAUUACAUUUCAAAAUGUCUUUAAUUUUUUUUUUUGAAAUUAGAUUUAAAUUGAAAUUUGUGUAAUUUAAUGUGUCACUUUCUUAAAAAAAAAACAAACAAAAAAAACAAUGUUCUGUGCAACGAAUGCUCCAGCAACGAGGUCAAAACCAGAUGACACAAAUAGCAGCUCUAAAGAGACUCAGCAGCUCACACAAGAGAGAAGAGAAUCCAGACAACUUUCUUCAACUGUUUCACCACAAGGGGAAGUGUCAUAAAGACUUCAACCUAGCAUUCACAACAAUCUUCAUUAUUUUUCAAUUAAAUUUACUCAAAGUCACUCCCCUGAACCAACACAUGUGACUGUACAUGUAUUGAUUUGGUAUUUCUGUCCAAAGUAUCUUAGAAGUCACGUGGAUUUGUUUGAAUGCUUUGCAUGAAUUGGUCUAUGAUGUUGUAUGUUACAUGCACAGUAAAUUCAGAUCAAUACAAAAAAGUAACAAUGUACACAUGUAACUUGCAGAAC